AUGGGCUCCAGGCUCCUCUGCUGGGUGGCCCUUGGUCUCCUGGGAGCAGGCCCUGCAGAUGCUGAGGUCACUCAGAGCCCCAGACACCUGGUCACAGCAAGGGGUCAGCCAGUGACCCUGAGAUGCAGCUAUGAAUCCGGGCAUGAUAAUGUGUACUGGUACCAACAGGCCCUGGGCCAGGGCCCCCAGUUCCUCGUUCAGUAUUACAGUGGGAAAGAGUAUAGAAAAGGCAGCAUCCCUGAGCGCUUCUCAGUGCAACAGUUCAGUAAGGACUCCCGCUCUGAGCUGAACAUAAGCUCCGUGGAAGGGGCCGACUCUGCCCUGUACCUCUGUGCCAGCAGCCUCACAGCCCUGCCUGCUCGGCUGCCUCCUGCACAAAAACAGCCCAGGAAGUGGCAGCGAGGGAGGCUGCCAGCCAGCAGGGCGCAGACCAUAAGGACAUUCCCUUUAGACGGUAUCUGGGGAUGGGUUUAA